GGGGGGGGGGGGGGGGGGGGGGGGGGGGGGGGGGGCGGGGGGGGGGGCCCGGGGUGGGGGGGGUGCUCGAGGGGCGAACGGGUGAGGAACACGUGAGUAACCUGCCCGUGACUUGGGGGUAACUUCAGGAAACUGGGGCUAAUACCGGAUAGGAGCUCCUGCUGCAUGGGGGGGGGUGGAAAGUUUCGGCGGGUGGGGAUGGACUCGCGGCUUAUCAGCUUGUUGGUGGGGUAGUGGCUUACCAAGGCUUUGACGGGUAGCCGGCCUGAGAGGGUGACCGGCCACAUUGGGACUGAGAUACGGCCCAGACUCCUACGGGAGGCAGCAGUGGGGAAUAUUGCACAAUGGGCGGAAGCCUGAUGCAGCAACGCCGCGUGCGGGAUGACGGCCUUCGGGUUGUAAACCGCUUUCGCCUGUGACGAAGCGUGAGUGACGGUAAUGGGUAAAGAAGCACCGGCUAACUACGUG
rnacentral:rRNA from 1 species